rnacentral:tRNA from 3 species
GCUCGCAUAGCUCAGUUGGUUAGAGCGCACGAUUCACAUUCGUGAGGUCCCAAGUUCGAAUCUUGGUGUGAGCA